GCUUAUUAAUGAUCAGGCGUGUUGUCAGAUGCACAGUAUCAUCAGCGUCCCUGUCGCCGUUUGGUGAAAGGAGAGAACUCAACUAAGGAAUCAUUGGGGCGCCAACUAAACAUCCACCAUUUCAACUAGAGGUCAAAUCAUUCAGGUAUAACAUUAUAUUAUUUCAUGGUUUAAUUUCUAAUUCAUUUCAAUUUACAUAAAACAUCUGCACAAUUUUGGAAUAUAUUAUACAGUAUAAUGUAUUGCUUUUUCUAAAUGUAAUGGGUCUUCUUUAGUCAUUGUUUCUAUUUGACUUGGGGAGGCAGGUAGCCUAGUGGUUAGAGCAUUGGACUAAUAACCGAAAGGUUGCCGGAUCAAAUCCCUGAGCUGACAAGGUUCAUAGUCUGCAACUGUGAGAGCAGGCCCCCCACUUAGUGUAUUUGUCAAGCUGAGUUGGACACUCAGUAUUACAGGGUGUCAGUUUGUCAAAUACCCCAAGUGAGGGGUCACUUGUCUGCUGAGCAUCUCCCAUCAGACUAACUUCAAAGAAGAACACUUCAUUAACCUCCAAGUGACUUUCACUGUUAAGACUUUCUCAGAGGCAAAACAUUUGGAUUAUGUGAAAAUUAUUAUCUCCAUCUACUAUGAGUGAUUAUGUGCAAUUGUCUCAUGUAUUUUGUGUAAGUUUGUAUGAUGGAACUUAGUACACUGUGUAACAAAUGUGUGUCUCUGUAUUAAAUACUGCAUUAAAUACGUACUGGGUUAUAAAA